UACGUAGGGGGCGAGCGUUGUCCGGAAUCAUUGGGCGUAAAGAGCGUGUAGGCGGCUUGGCAAGUCUGACGUGAAAGCCCGCGGCUCAACCGCGGAUUGUCGUUGGAAACUGCCUCGCUAGAGUCCGGAAGAGGAGAGUGGAAUUCCUGGUGUAGCGGUGGAAUGCGCAGAUAUCAGGAAGAACACCCGUGGCGAAGGCGGCUCUCUGGGACGGUACUGACGCUGAGACGCGAAAGCGUGGGGAGCGAACAGG
rnacentral:rRNA from 1 species